UACGAAGGGGGCUAGCGUUGUUCGGAUUUACUGGGCGUAAAGCGCACGUAGGCGGAUCGUUAAGUCGGGGGUGAAAUCCUGGAGCUCAACUCCAGAACUGCCUUCGAUACUGGCGAUCUUGAGUCCGGAAGAGGUGAGUGGAACUCCUAGUGUAGAGGUGGAAUUCGUAGAUAUUAGGAAGAACACCAGUGGCGAAGGCGGCUCACUGGUCCGGUACUGACGCUGAGGUGCGAAAGCGUGGGGGAGCAA
rnacentral:rRNA from 1 species